CAAAAUGGCUGCCGCGGCUGCAAAAAUCAAGCGCGGCCUACCGUGUGGUGAUCGUGCGGCACUGCCACGGUAGAAAAAGCUGCUCAGCAAGCGGCCAGGGGCCACGGGGAGCAGGUGGGAAAUAAGGGAGAAAGCGUAUGGGCGACAGAGCCCAGCAGGGGAACCCGGGGAGGGGAAACAGAUUACAGACAGAGCCAAAGCAUCAUAGCAGAGGCACCCAUUCCCCAUACAGCAGAGUGAGAAAAACUGCAUAAAGUAACCCAGAAUAACAAUAAAUCAAUGAGCAGUAUACAGAAUCUAUCAGAUAAAUAGCCUAAAUACAGCAACAGAUGUUAACAAGUGAUAUAGCAGCUACAUAGCAUGAAGUGGUAAAGGAAAUAACACAGAAUAGACUGCCUAGCUAAACCCAGCAAUAGACUGCCUAGAUAAACACAGCAAUAGACUGCCUAGAUAAACACAGCAAUAGACUGCCUAACUAAACCCAGCAAUAGACUGCCUAGAUAAACACAGCAAUAGACUACCUAGAUAAACCCAGCAAUAGAUUGCCUAAAUAAACCCAGCAAUAGACUGCCUAGCUAAACCCAGCAAUUGACUGCCUAGCUAAACCCAGCAAUAGACUGCCUAGCUAAAUCCAGCAAGAACCCUGCCUAAAUAAAACCAGCAAUUAAGCUGCCUAAUCAAACCUAACAAAUAGACUGAUUAAAUAGACUGUUUAAAUAAACAAGCAGCAUGUAGGAUAAAACAACAACCAAGAGCAGAGACAACUCUGAGUUGGUG